CAGAUCAUGUGACACUUAGAUUGCACACAGGUGGACUUUAUUUAACUAAUUAUGUGACUGAAGGUAAUUGGUUGCACCAGAUCUUAUUUAGGGGCUUCAUAGUAAAGAAUACAUAUGCACACACACCACUUUUCCGUUAUUUAGAUAUUUUUGAAACAAGUUUUUUAUUUUAUUUCACUUUACCAAUUUGGACUAUUUUCUUUGUUUGUCCAUUACAUGAAAUCCAAAUAAAAAUCCAUUUAAAUUACAGGUUGUAAAGCAACAAAAUAGGAAAAACGCCAAGGGGGAUGAAAUACUAUUGUCAGGCACUGUAUUUUCUCACACGUUUGCUGUGCCCCAAAUGGCGUGCAAUCCCCUACAUAGUGCAUUCUCUUUGGCAAGGGCCCACAGAAGUAGUGCACUACAUAGGGAAUGGGAUGCCUAGUCUCUCCACACAGCCUCUGUAUGUCCGGCAAGCCGGACUAUAGCUCACAGGAUGAAAUCACAAACAAUUUACCCAAACCUAUUUUAGUUAUAGCAUUAUUUCAUUUCAUGUUAGAAACUACGUGUCCUUUUUCAUAACUCCCUGUUGAUGCAUUCAUUAACCAAACCAUACAAUAUUAAUAACCAUAACGAGAGAGAGAGACUCGAUAACAACCUGGAUGUAUGUAAUAGUUUUACUAUUACAGAGGUUUCUAUACACUGAGCAGGGCCAUAGACAUGGGUUACAGUCCAGAUCACAUCCUGAUAUAUUCCCUAGGGACUGAGCAGGGCCAUAGACAUGGGUUACAGUCCAGAUCACAUCCUGAUAUAUUCCCUAGGGACUGAGCAGGGCCAUAGACAUGGGUUACAGUCCAAAUGGCAUCCUGAUAUAUUCCCUAGGGACUGAGCAGGGCCAUAGACAUGGGUUACAGUCCAGAUCACAUCCUGAUAUAUUCCCUGUAUAGUCAGAAGGAGUGGACUGUGUAGGGAAUAGGGACUGUGUAGGGAAUAGGGACUGUGUAGGGAAUAGGGACUGUGUAGGGAAUAGGGACUGUAUAGGGAAUAGGGACUGUGUAGGGAAUAGGGACUGUGUAGGGAAUAGGGACUGUGUAGGGAAUAGGGACUGUAUAGGGAAUAGGGACUGUGUAGGGAAUAUAUAACAUAAAACACUGGCUAACCACUGGUGUGGGGUUAAGACUCAGUGGAAAUGCAUCACCAUAGUACUAGACUAGUACUCAUAUUUAGUCAGUACUGCUGUAGUACUCUUAUACAGUACAGUUUAAGUCAGUACUGCUAUAGUACUCUUAUACAGUACAGUUUAAGUCAGUACUGCUAUAGUACUCUUAUACAGUACAGUUUAAGUCAGUACUGCUAUAGUACUCUUAUACAGUACAGUUUAAGUCAGUACUGCUAUAGUACUCUUAUACAGUACAGUUUAAGUCAGUACUGCUGUAGUACUCUUGUACAGUGCAGUUUAAGUCAGUACUGCUAUAGUACUCUUAUACAGUACAGUUUAAGUCAGUUCUGCUAUAGUACUCUCAUACAGUACAGUUAAAGUCAGUACUGCUAUAGUACUCUUAUACAGUACAGUUUUAAUGUGCAAUUAGCUGUAGCCCCUAACAUGGCGAUCAAUAAUCAAUAAUAUUACGAAGUUGGAUAAAAUAUUGAUCAUAUUUAUAAUUCGCAUUGACAUUGAUAAAUGGUGCUGGACUGUAAUUAAGGUUAUGAGGUACACUAGUGACUUUACAUUGAGCCCUGGUGAUGGGAGUCUGGUGGCAGAGUUAUGAGGUACACUAGUGACUUUACAUUGAGCCCUGGUGAUGGGAGUCUGGUGGCAGAGUUAUCAGGUACGCUAGUGACUUUACAUUGAGCCCUGGUGAUGGGAGUGACUUUACAUUGAGCCCUGGUGAUGGGAGUCUGGUGGCAGAGUUAUCAGGUACGCUAGUGACUUUACAUUGAGCCCUGGUGAUGGGAGUGACUUUACAUUGAGCCCUGGUGAUGGGAGUCUGGUGGCAGAGUUAUCAGGUACGCUAGUGACUUUACAUUGAGCCCUGGUGAUGGGAGUCUGGUGGCAGAGUUAUCAGGUACGCUAGUGACUUUACAUUGAGCCCUGGUGAUGGGAGUCUGGUGGCAGAGUUAUCAGGUACGCUAGUGACUUUACAUUGAGCCCUGGUGAUGGGAGUGACUUUACAUUGAGCCCUGGUGAU
ensembl:lncRNA